UAUGAGCUUGGAGAAUUUCCCCCGGGAUAGUCAGAACUUGAUGUUGUUGGGGGCCCACUGGCUUUUAGAAUCUAGUUGAGUCUAAAAACUGAAGAGCAGGUGCUCAUCACAGGCAUCUAUUUGUAUUAAUUAACAUGCAUGAGGAGGGGGAAAGGGAACACUGACUGUUGCCAUAAAUAUUCAGCAAAUAAAACAAACAAUAUUCUUCCUCUUCUUAGCAAAGUGCUGAUUUGGCUCUCCACAGGAUCCUUCACUACAUGAGAGGUGAAGUUGAAAAUGUUAACCAUUUCCAGUGAUAAAAAGGAAACUGAUCUUGGCUCUGCGGGUUCAGAGUUGUCUGUCAACAUUGUCAAGAUGCAGUUGGAGGUCCAAAACAUCUCUCGAAGACUAGACUACAUCAAAAGUCUAGAAGAUAAUGUGCUUCACAAAGCAACAGGUCAAAACAGUUUUAUUUAAAUUUGAAAAAUAUGCAACACUUACCAGAUAGACUCAACAGGGCCAAGGCACUGAGAAGAAAGAUGCCUGUUACCUUCAUGGCUGAAGUUCUGCGUCCAGAGGUCAGUUGAAAA